rnacentral:misc_RNA from 1 species
AAGUCGUAACAAGGUUUCCGUAGGUGAACCUGCGGAAGGAUCAAUUACGAGUUAGGGUCUUCAUGGGCCUGACCUCCAAACCCCUGUGUUUUAUCAUACCACGUUUGCUUCGGCGGGGUCCCGUCUUUUCAUCGGACCGCCGGGGGGGUCGCGAGACUUCCUGGCCCGCGCCCGCCGAUGGCCCCCAAUAUAAAACUCUGUAUAACCAUGUUUGUCUGAGUUCUUAAAUUAAAUAAAAACAAGA